UGAUAGCGUAGAAGCGUGAGGUUGCUACAAGAUUUGUAGGUAUUCCGUGGAGCGAAUGUCAAGUUAUGAAACUGGCGACAA
rnacentral:ncRNA from 1 species